CACGCUUUUCCUCCGCUGUUUCUCCCUCUGCUUUCUCUUUUCGUCGUGCAAGCUGCCGGUAUCGGGAACGAUUUCUUUGUCUUUCGGGACAUUCCUCGGUGAUGUGUCGCCACGCGGAGGAAAUUUUAGUUACAGCCUCUUAGAAUCGGGAAUGGAAUUUAUACGUUUCUGUGCUUUGUGUAAUGGCGAACGUGAUGGACCUCUUUUGGGAAUAUGGCGAUAUAGCGAGAGCUUUAGUGCUGUACGAGAUGGGCGAACGUUUUCUGUGCGAAUGGAAUACAUUAAGAUUUAUUUUUUUUGUAUUUUCAAACGAGUACAUUUUCCUAUGACCCGACACGUGCUUCGAAGAGGAUCGAUGUCCUUCAGGGGAGUCCGCGAAACCUGCUGGCGGUCGAACGAUCUCUUCCGAGACCUCGAGGUGGAGCAAUACGAUGGCACGCACGAUAGAGAAAAGAGAAAUAAUAAGAAGAAAGGAAGAAAUUCAAGAUCCAAGCAACUAACUACACUAUGCACUACAGUAAUGACAGUCACCAGGACAACCAUUAGAAGCAAUGAGAGAUAUUGCCUGAAGCAAACACAGAUGGCGCG